rnacentral:rRNA from 1 species
UACAGAGGUGGCAAGCGUUGUUCGGAAUUACUGGGCGUAAAGCGUGCGUAGGCGGUUGGCAAAGUCAGCUGUGAAAGCCCCGGGCUUAACCUGGGAAUGGCGGUUGAAACUAGUCGACUUGAAUCUGGCAGAGGGGGGUGGAAUUCCGACGUGUAGCAGUGAAAUGCGUAGAGAUGUGGAGGAACACCGAUGGCGAAGGCAGCCCCCUGGGCUGAGAUUGACGCUCAGGCACGAAAGCGUGGGGAGCAAACAGG